UACGAAGGGGGCUAGCGUUGCUCGGAAUCACUGGGCGUAAAGGGUGCGUAGGCGGGUUCUUAAGUCAGAGGUGAAAUCCUGGAGCUCAACUCCAGAACUGCCUUUGAUACUGAGAGUCUUGAGUUCGGGAGAGGUGAGUGGAACUGCGAGUGUAGAGGUGAAAUUCGUAGAUAUUGGGAAGAACACCGGUGGCGAAGGCGGCCAUCUGGACCGUAUCUGACGCUGAGGCGCGAAAGCGUGGGGAGCAAACAGG
rnacentral:rRNA from 1 species